GAUGAAGAACGCAGCGAAAUGCGAUACUUGGUGUGAAUUGCAGAAUCCCGUGAACCAUCGAGUCUUUGAACGCAAGUUGCGCCCGAAGCCUCGGCUAAGGGCACGUCUGCCUGGACGUCACGCAUCGCGUCUCCCCCAAACCGCCAAGGCGGAGGGGAAGGAAGAUGGCUUCCCGUGCCUCACCCGGGCGCGGUUGGCCUAAAUUUGGAGCCCGCGGCACUUAGCUCUCGCGGCGAUAGGUGGUGAACAAGGCCUUGGCCGUGCAAACAACCCGCUGCGAAGCUCUAUGUCACGUGCGCUCGUCGGACCCUUUGAAGUUGCCUUCGGUGACUUAAAACCUUUGCGACCCCAGGUCAGGCGGGGCUACCCGCUGAAUUUAAGCAUAUCAAUAAGCGGAGGA
rnacentral:misc_RNA from 1 species